rnacentral:misc_RNA from 1 species
GGAAUGCACUUUCAGCCGGAGUUUCUAUCGACUCUGAAUCGUUGUUUGGCCAAAUAACGAACAUCAGAACGUAUAUUCCCAGCGUUGUUAUGUGGAGAUACCUCGCCGUUGGUGGGUGGAGUGACAGGCUCAGAUCAAUACUUAACAGGAACGAAUAGGGGACCAUUCAACGAGACACCGGUGUCUUGUAAUUUACAGAUAUGAUGCUGCUUCGACACUUGGUUAGAGACUCUUGACGGUUUCAAAGAUUUCAGCGGUAUAACGAUGAAAUUUGAUAGCUUGUGUCAGUGGAACUUUUUGGACGUUUGAGGAAUCGUUCGAGAUUGAACAUAUAUGUGGCAAAAACACAAGGAGGCUAUUGUUGGACGACAAAAGGAAGAUUCAGUAUAAUGUUCAUCGACGUUCAGAGGAAUUUCACAAUGACAGCAAUGACGUAUCGAUGAUUCGUCGGACAAAAACAAGGAAUUAUAACGUGGUCGAUCAAAGGCGCAAUCAACAGGUGUGGAAAUGAAAAACUGGCUUUGAUAUUCGAUCUACCGUAUGAAUUGCAAUUUUUGUUGGAAAAGAUAGACACUUUAUUCGAUGUAUGUAUGUAGGUAUAACGAACAAUUCACUGGCUGCUCGACAUCGUUCUGAAAUCUCCUUUCUCUAUAAAACGAUUGUGAGACUGUUUUAAAUAUGUUGCAAAAUCCUAUCGAGUAUCGGUUCGAAAAACGUAACACGAAAAGGCCAAUAAUUGCUACUGUAAGCAUCGAUGAACAGCGUUAAAAAACUCAACAAAUAUUCUAUUUACUUGCAUCCAUUAACAGUCAAUGUUAACGUAGAAUUUAAUUUUUCAUUUAUUUUUGUAUGCAAAAUAAUUAUCUCACA